UACUAUGUUACGACUUAUCUCGAAUAAAUAACGAGAGCGACGGGCGAUAUGUACACAUUCCAGAAACUUAGUCAUAAUUAAAAUCUAAAAUAAUAAUUACACUCAAAUCCAAUUUCAUAUUAAAAUUGCAAUUAAUAAUUCAAGCAUAAAUAACAAUGUAACCCAUAAUCACUUAACUAUAAACUGCACCAUGACCUGAAAUAAAAUAAAAUAAAAAAAACAAGAAAAUUAAAUAACUCUAAAAAGACUUUCAAAACAACGGCGGUAUACAAAUAAGUAUAUAAAUCAAGUAAGGUCCAACGGGGAUUAUCGAUAAAAAUACAGGUUCCUCUGAAAAGAAUAAAAUACUGCCAAAUUCUUUGAGUUUCAAGAAAAUAACAACUACUACUCAAGUUAAAUAAUUAACAUAAAAAAUAAUAGGGUAUCUAAUCCUAGUUUUUA
rnacentral:rRNA from 1 species